rnacentral:rRNA from 1 species
UGGGGAAUAUUGGACAAUGGGGGAAACCCUGAUCCAGCAAUGCCGCGUGAGUGAAGAAGGCCUUAGGGUUGUAAAGCUCUUUCGCCCGCGGAGAUAAUGACGGUAGCGGGAGAAGAAGCCCCGGCUAACUCCGUGCCAGCAGCCGCGGUAAUACGGAGGGGGCUAGCGUUGUUCGGAAUUACUGGGCGUAAAGCGUACGUAGGCGGAUGCGCAAGUUGGGGGUGAAAUCCCGGGGCUUAACCUCGGAAUUGCCCUCAAAACUGCACGUCUUGAGACCGAGAGAGGUAAGGGGAAUUCCUAGUGUAGAGGUGAAAUUCGUAGAUAUUAGGAAGAACACCAGUGGCGAAGGCGCCUUACUGGCUCGGUACUGACGCUGAGGUACGAAAGCGUGGGGAGCAAACA